UCAAUAUUGAAGCUGUGUGCUCAGUCGAAGAGGAAAGUCUUCCCGGAAUAGAGGAGGGCCAGUCUUCAGUCAAAGGCAUACGAGUAGCUGUGAUCCCCUGCUAGAACCUCCAACAGGCUCAACGUCCAGUUUUCUUAAUGAGAAGAAUGAUUGGCUUGUAUAAUGUCUUUAGGAGGUUUACACAGGGUAAAAUUUAAAAA
rnacentral:sRNA from 1 species